AGGUAAAGCCAGUGAAACAAAACACUGAUAAUAUAGAAGUGUCGCUUCACUUUACAUCUGCUGGUUUGUUUCACAGCGCUGUAGAUUAAAAUGGUGGAAACCAUGGUGAGCAGCUCGCAUUUUCAGAGCCAGUUAGCGUCCAUUAUGGAGAUGUUAGCCAAGACGGCGGUGCUGGAGAUAGGGAAGCUGGUGGAGGAGAGCCAUGCUGUGUUUAAAAGAGAGCUUUCUCGGAGGAUAAGUGAAAACGAAAGUCUGAAGAAUAAGUGUGAUUUACUGGAGAGUGAGCUGAGAGCCAGCAGGAGGAGUGCUCAGAAGAUAGCCGAACUACUACAGAAUGCUAAAACUGCUGCUACCGCUGCUGCUGCUAAUAAAGAAGUUGUACAUCGGCCCACCAUCGAUGGUGUGUUUGGGAAAGAAUGGUGUAUGGACUUAUGGAAAGAGAAAGAACCUGUGGCGGCCCAGCUGAGUCAGAGCCAAGUGGACCCCUGUGUCAUAGAGUCAAUUGAUCUGAUGGAUGACGAUGGACCUGAGAUGAUUAUCAUCAAUGACGAAAUACUGAAAAAAACCUCCAGCAAACACAAGCCACAAGCAGACACAAUGAGAAACAAUGAGAAAGGACCUGCCGUGUCCAGUAUGGACAGCAGUGUGAACCAAAGCGGUGACGAUUUCAUCACCUACACAGUACCUACAGACAACAUGCCACAGAGGAGUGCUGCCGAUCCAACUAUUGACCCCAGACCAUCUACGCUCGAAGAUGCUUCGACUUCAUCGAAUAUGACAGCCGAGGAGUUCGCCCCUUUCAUGCUGUUCUUCAAUGGUCAGGACCACUACAGAGCAGGUAUUAUUUAGGUGGUGGAUUAUUCUCAGCACUGCAGUGACACUGACAUGGUGCUGGUAUGAGUGGAUCAGACACAGCAGCGCUGCUGGACUUUUUUCAAAUCAGAAUCACUUUAUUUCACCAGGGUUGUGUUGGGUCCAGUUUUGACGUAAUCUCUGGGCGCAAUUCAGUAACACUCCAUAAACAAGACGAGAACUCUAUUGCAGCCUGGUCUCAAACACAGCCAAUCAGGUCAGUCCGUAGACUGGCCAAUUGCACUCCUGAAGAUUUGAACUGUGGAUCCCAGCAGUAGUGGGUUAGCGCAGUUUACCACUGCACCACUCAAGCGCCCAGAUUUGGUCUUAUUUUUUGGGGGGGAAACUUAGUCAGUUUCUAAAUGAAGUAUUGUUUGGAUAAAGUAUGUGUUCCAAUGAUUCACUGCUGUACAUGUUUUUUACAGGUGUAUGUAAACUUUUGACUUUAGAUGUAGAAUUAAUUUUAGACACGUACACUGUGCAUUGUGCAAACUGGCACAUUAAAGUCAUAUCAAAGAACACGAAUGAAUUUUGCGCAUGGAAGUGUUUUUGUAGCAUCAGCUGUAUUAUUCAUGUAUUCGAAUUUUUACAUCAUACAUCUAUUUUUUUGCAAAUGCCAUCCAAGAGUAUAUUAGGAAUGUGUGAUAAAUUACUAUUAUUAUUUAUUAUUUUUGUAUAUCCAACGGAUGUUUGUUACUAGACUAAGUGAAGUUACUGUCAGCAACAUUUGUAUUUUAUACGUUUGUGUUUUCAUUUUACCAGGUU